rnacentral:rRNA from 1 species
GACGAACGCUGGCGGCGUGCCUAAUACAUGCAAGUAGAACGCUGAAGGAGGAGCUUGCUUCUCUGGAUGAGUUGCGAACGGGUGAGUAACGCGUAGGUAACCUGCCUGGUAGCGGGGGAUAACUAUUGGAAACGAUAGCUAAUACCGCAUAAUAGUAGAUGUUGCAUGACAUUUGCUUAAAAGGUGCAAUUGCAUCACUACCAGAUGGACCUGCGUUGUAUUAGCUAGUUGGUGAGGUAACGGCUCACCAAGGCAACGAUACAUAGCCGACCUGAGAGGGUGAUCGGCCACACUGGGACUGAGACACGGCCCAGACUCCUACGGGAGGCAGCAGUAGGGAAUCUUCGGCAAUGGACGGAAGUCUGACCGGGCAACGCCGCGUGAGUGAAGAAGGUUUUCGGAUCGUAAAGCUCUGUUGUAAGAGAAGAACGAGUGUGAGAGUGGAAAGUUCACACUGUGACGGUAUCUUACCAGAAAGGGACGGCUAACUACGUG